GCUUGUCGAAUUCAAGGGCCACUUACCUAUUCACGCACCAAGCCCAAAGAGUGUUGGGCGUGAGGGGGGUGUAUUAGGAAAAACUUAAGUCCCACAUCGGAUUUAAGACUCUUGAUGAAAGUUUAUAAAGAGGAGGCAAUCCUCACCUUACAAGCCGGUUUACCAUUGUACCAACAUCAACAACCACAAUGGGCUUAUCCACCAUAUCAUAACCAAAAUCAACAAUGGAAUUUUCCACCGUGGCAGCAACCUUGGUCCGUACCCUACAACGGGAAACUCGAACAAGCAAGCUGGUAUUCUUGGUCAAAAGCCAACUCAUGAGGCUCAUGUAGCAAGCACUACACCGUACCAGGCCAGUCACCAAGGAUCCUCUUCAUAUGCUCCAACGGACAUUCAAGCUGCUAUGCAUACCUUCUCUAUUUCUCCUCCAGAUGAUCAAUGGUAUAUGGACACCAGGGCUACAUCGCAUAUGACGGAGAACGGAGGAUAAGCUGAAGAACAGAUCGAGAUUUUGGAAAAGAUUGCGCCAGACUGGAUUUGCAAGAAGCUUCAAGAAUGCAUUAAAUUUGGACUCAGUUCAGUAAAGGGUGACCAAAGGAGAUGAAUGAAGGGUUUUUGUUGGUAAUGCUAUGCAUUG